CUGUAACACUAAUAAAGUCUGCUUUAAAGAAAUCCCUCAAAUCUUGUUGGUUUUGUGUCAAAGAAAUCAUUUGGGCUUCUCUAAGGCUUGUGAAGGAACAAAACUAAUACCUUUAGUACGUUCCAUACAAAGCUAUGUAAUACCAAGUAAAACAAAGGAAAUGUGCUGGCUUUUAUCCAGUUCAGAUCAAAGGACUUUGGACCCUCUUGUGCAAGCUGAGCAAUGUGGCAUUUUACUCCAACUUUUAGAGCCAUUGCUGCAGUGUUUUCCCGUCAGAAACAGUUGUUUCUCCUCCUUAAAAAUAACAAAAUAUACUCACUGUAAAAUAACAUCAGAAGAACUGUAUUUAUGUGGCAUUUUAUUUCUACUUACUAAGUCAAAUACGGAUUCUGGGAGGACUGCAUGAAACCUUGCUAUACCACUGAACUAAAAUGGGGUUUUAGGACUAAAUGCUUCAGAAGUAAGACCAGCAAAUGAAAACAUAGAAUUGUUGUCAACUUUCUCUCUUUUGACAUUAAGCAAAGGAGGCAAGGACUUAUAGAUGCCAUCCUGGAGAGCCGAGUGACACUACAAGGUCUAAGUGCAUCAGAGUGAGCCAAGCCAAUAGGUUUGGAAAAGAAGAGUAGCAAAAAGCUGGCAUGGCUCCCCAACCCUGGUUAGAGAAACACAGCUUUCAAAAAAAAAAAACCAAACAACCAACCAAAAAAAAUCCAACCAACCAAACAAAAGGCCUGUAGCUGAGCUACUUUUUGAACUUGAGGCUCUCCCAGACAGACUGCAGAGCAGAACCACACUGGAACUACACUGAGAAAGACAAAUGGAGAUGAAGUACGUGCACAUAAAAGGACUGGGAGAUAGAAGGAAAAAUGUACUUUCAUACUAGUUAUCUCUGUACAUGUCUGAGGAGUCAAAUACAGCAAGAAAACCUCUGUUCCUUCCACUCUGGAGGCGCCAACGUCCACAAAACCCCAUGGAUGGUUUUUAAUACAUUGAUAUUUAUUUAAUGGGCCACAGCUGUCUUUUAAAGUCUAAAUUAAAUGCACAUUGUUGGAUCUUAAUGUAAAGCAUUACAGCGUUCCUCUUGACCAAAGGCAAACGCAGAUAACAGCUCAAAGCCAAUCGGAGCGCCUGAUCCUAAACUGACCUUUCGUUCCGGGAUGGCAGAAGUUGAACAAAUGGGCGGAAAAGUGAGGUCAGAUCAUAUCACUUUCCCAUCACACCCCGCCUUCAGUUUUGCCCGAAUUACUGUAGUCUUAUUCAGCGGGACGAGCUUUCUGCAUCCAGAGAGAAACUUUUAAUGAAUUCUUCAGCUGGCAAUAAGGAGGCUACAUGGGUGCAUGCGUGUUUGUGAGAGAAGGAGGAAGAGAGGCCCUGAUCUCCAAGUGUCAUCAAAGAAGAGGACUGCAAAUGAUAUUCCUGGCCCAUCUCAUUACAUCCCAGAUUCCUUGUGGAGAAGGGUACUGUUAGACUGAAGAGUCUUCUCUUAUGAAAACAUAUGUGGGAAAGUGUUAAACUGUGUAGUGCGGUAUUUUGGUUUCCACAUCCCCUGUUGAAAUGUGUGUUGCCUGGGGAAAACAGAAAGGAAGAAAAAAUAUCCCCUGGAAAUAUCUGCAUAAUUUACUCCCACACACCUAGUGAGAGAUUUACAAUUGAACAGCAGUUCCCUCAAACCAUCACAACAUUGUGCUCUGAAUUACACUUCUGCACUCCUACCUGCAAAUUAUACUGUUAAUUAGUUAAUGGCUGUAAAGUGCUUUGGAAAAGAAAAGUGCUCUCAUUAAAUAUCAUUGUUCUGUA